rnacentral:sRNA from 1 species
UCUAUGCAAAUUCAGACCUCAGAUUUCCCAUGAUCUCAUAGCCCCUGCACCCUUGUGACCCUACCAUGCACUCUUGGCUACAGGUGACAGAACUGAAGGGCCUGGCCAACCAUGUGGUUGUGGGCAGUGUCUCCUGUGAGACCAAGGACCUGUUUGCCGCCCUGCCCCAGGUUGUGGCUGUGGAUAUCAAUGACCUUGGUACCAUCAAGCUCAGCCUGGAAGUCACAUGGAGGUUGGUGGGGCUGAGAGGCUUGGAGGAGGGCCAGGAGGGCUGUGGCACCUGCCAACAGCCUCUUCCCUUCCCAGCCCCUUCGACAAGGAUGACCAGCCCUCAGCUGCUUCUUCUGUCAACAAGGCCUCCACAGUCACCAAGCGCUUCUCCACCUAUAGCCAGAGCCCACCGGACACACCCUCACUUCGAGAACAGGCUUUCUAUAACAUGCUGCGACGGCAGGAGGAGCUGGAGAAUGGGACAGCAUGGUCCCUGUCAUCCGAAUCUUCAGACGACUCAUCCAGCCCACAGCUCUCAGGCACUGCCCGCCACUCAUCAGCCCCUAGGCCCCUGGUGCAGCAGCCCGAGCCCCUUCCCAUCCAAGUUGCCUUCCGCAGGCCUGAGACCCUCAGCUCUGGGCCCUUGGAUGAGGAGGGGGCCGUGGCCCCAGUCCUGGCAAAUGGGCAUGCACCCUACAGUCGGACUCUGAGCCACAUCAGUGAGGCUAGUGUAGACGCUGCCUUGGCUGAGGCUUCAGUGGAGGCCGUUGGCCCAGAAAGCCUAGCCUGGGGACCUAGCCCACCUACACACCCAGCUCCCACCCAUGGAGAGCACCCCAGUCCUGUUCCUCCUGCCCUGGACCCUGGCCACUCUGCCACAAGCUCCACCCUCGGUACAACAGGCUCUGUCCCCACAUCUACAGACCCUGCCCCAUCUGCACACCUAGACUCAGUUCAUAAGUCCACAGACUCUGGCCCUUCAGAACUGCCAGGCCCCACUCACACCACUACAGGCUCUACCUAUAGUGCCAUUACCACUACCCACAGUGCUCCAAGCCCCCUCACUCACACUACUACAGGCUCCACCCACAAGCCCAUAAUCUCUACCCUUACUACUACAGGCCCUACCCUCAAUAUCAUAGGCCCAGUCCAGACUACCACAAGCCCCACCCACACUAUGCCAAGCCCUACCCAUACCACAGCAAGCCCCACUCAUACUUCCACAAGCCCCACCCAUACCCCCACAAGCCCCACCCACACCCCCACAAGCCCCACCCAUACCCCCACAAGUCCCACCCACAAAACCAGUAUGUCACCUCCCACCACUACAAGUCCUACCCCCAGUGGUAUGGGCCUAGUCCAGACUGCCACAAGUCCCACCCAUCCUACCACAAGCCCCACCCAUCCCACCACAAGCCCCAUCCUUAUAAAUGUAAGCCCUUCCACUUCUCUAGAACUUGCUACCCUCUCCAGCCCCUCCAAACACUCAGACCCCACCCUCCCAGGCACUGACUCCCUUCCCUGUAGUCCCCCAGUCUCCAAUUCCUACACUCAGGCAGACCCUAUGGCCCCCAGAACUCCCCACCCAAGUCUUGCCCAUUCCAGUAGGAAACCCCUCACAAGCCCUGCCCCAGAUCCCCCAGAGUCUACGGUUCAGAGUCUAAGCCCCACUCCCUCACCCCCAACCCCUGCACCCCAGCAUUCAGACCUUAGCCUGGCCAUGGCUGUCCAGACCCCAGUCCCAACGGCAGCCAGAGGGUCUGGGGACAGGAGCCUGGAGGAGGCACUGGGGGCCCUAAUGGCUGCCCUGGAUGACUACCGUGGCCAGUUUCCUGAGCUGCAGGGCCUGGAGCAGGAGGUGACCCGCCUAGAGAGUCUGCUCAUGAGACAAGGUCUGACUCGCAGCCGGGCCUCCAGUCUCAGCAUCACUGUGGAGCAUGCCUUGGAGAGCUUCAGCUUCCUCAAUGAAGACGAAGAUGAAGACAAUGAUGUUCCUGGGGACAGGCCUCCAAGCAGCCCGGAGGCUGGGGCUGAGGACAGCAUAGACUCACCCAGUGCCCGCCCCCUCAGCACGGGGUGUCCAGCUCUGGAUGCUGCCUUGGUCCGGCACCUGUACCACUGCAGUCGCCUCCUGCUGAAACUGGGCACAUUUGGGCCCCUGCGCUGCCAGGAGGCGUGGGCCCUGGAGCGGCUGCUGCGGGAAGCCCGAGUACUGGAGGCAAUAUGCGAGUUCAGCAGGCGGUGGGAGAUCCCGGCCAGCUCUGCCCAGGAAGUGGUGCAGUUCUCGGCCUCUCGGCCUGGCUUCCUGACCUUCUGGGACCAGUGCACAGAGAGACUCAGCUGCUUCCUCUGCCCGGUGGAGCGGGUGCUUCUCACCUUCUGCAACCAGUAUGGUGCCCGCCUCUCCCUGCGCCAGCCAGGCUUGGCUGAGGCUGUGUGUGUGAAGUUCCUGGAGGAUGCCCUGGGGCAGAAGCUGCCCAGAAGGCCCCAGCCAGGGCCUGGAGAGCAGCUCACGGUCUUCCAGUUCUGGAGUUUUGUGGAAACCUUGGACAGCCCCACCAUGGAGGCCUACGUGACCGAGACCGCUGAGGAGGUGCUACUGGUGCGGAAUCUGAACUCGGAUGAUCAGGCUGUUGUGCUGAAGGCCCUGAGAUUGGCGCCCGAGGGGCGUCUGCGAAGGGACGGGCUGCGGGCCCUCAGCUCCCUGCUCGUCCAUGGCAACAACAAGGUCAUGGCUGCUGUCAGCACCCAGCUCCGGAGCCUGUCACUGGGCCCUACCUUCCGGGAGAGGGCCCUCCUGUGCUUCCUGGACCAGCUGGAGGAUGAGGACGUGCAGACUCGAGUGGCUGGCUGCCUGGCCCUAGGCUGCAUCAAGGUGACCCCUGCCAACCCUCCCACCCCUCUGUCCGCUUCCGGCACCCCCACCCCUGAAACCCUCCCAUCUGCUCCCCCGAGCCCACCUCAAUGCUCCCUCCCCUGACAGGCUCCCGAGGGCAUUGAGCCCCUGGUGUACCUCUGCCAAACUGACACAGAAGCUGUGAGGGAAGCUGCCCGGCAAAGCCUACAGCAGUGUGGAGAAGAGGGACAGUCUGCCCAUCGACGGCUGGAGGAGUCCCUGGACGCCCUGCCCCGCAUCUUUGGGCCUGGCAGCAUGGCCAGCACAGCAUUCUAAACUAUUCACCCAUGGGUUCCUGGUGCCCCUUUCCCCCCACUUUCAGGGCUCACCAGGCACUGGCAGGGAGGGUAAGGGCUGGCUCCAGAUACCCCUCCCCCACAGAUUCCUAGCAAUGAAAAUCUAAUAUAUUCUUCUGUUGCCCCUGGGGUUGGAGAAUCAGUGCCUGAAGUCAAGUGCCUCCCAGCCUCGGCUCAGCACAUCCCUUGCCACAAAUCAGUGUCUGGGGCUUGGCCACCCUGCCACUGCCCAGCCACAUCCCUUGGUUUUGUAUUUUAUUUACAGAGUUUUACAGAAAAUAAAAAAGCAAAAUGUCUUUCCUA